rnacentral:rRNA from 1 species
AGUCGUAACAAGGUUUCCGUAGGUGAACCUGCGGAAGGAUCAUUAAUAAAUUUUUUUUUUCACAUGGGUAAAACCACGUAAAAUUUUUACAGCUGCUUUCGCACUUUUCCAAAAAAUUCAGGAACCUUCCUGAUGAUUUGAGAGGAGAGGAAAGACUUUUGAUAACAUUAUAAGAGAGUCAGAAGAGAAGAGAGGGGGAAAUGUAGCAUAUUUUAAUAAAUAGCUCGUUACUCUAUCUAUUUUCAUUCUUUCUUUCCAUUCCGAGAAUACAACCAUGUACAUAAAUAUGGAAAAACUUAAAAACUUUCAACAACGGAUCUCUUGGUUCUCGCAUCGAUGAAGAACGCAGCGAAAUGCGAUAAGUAGUGUGAAUUGCAGAAUUCAGUGAAUCAUCGAAUCUUUGAACGCACAUUGCGCCUCCUGGUAUUCCGGGAGGCAUGCCUGUCUGAGCGUCAUAAACAAUCUGAAUUAAGCCAUAUUUAUUUUAUUUUAUUUUUCAUUUUUGAUGAAAAAAGAAUUGAAAAAAAAAUUAGGUUUGCUAUUGAGGGAUGAGAGAAGAAAAAAGAGCUGAGUUGGUUAAUCCCAUAUCAUCUCUCUGGCCUCCUCUCCCCCUUGAAUAUCAGUGGCGGACAAAGCAAUGACACUUUUCACGUUUGGUUACAAAUGAGAAAGCUGGAGAUGGGCGCUUGUUGGUAGUAGUAAGUCUUCUCACCAUCAAAGUUCAGACCCGGUUUUUUCUACAUUUGUGAAAAGUGUGUGUUACUUUUUCUUGCCGAUUAUACAACUUAAUUGAACUUCUCAUUUUGACCUCAGAUCAGGUAGGGAUACCCGCUGAACUUAAGCAUAUCAAUAAGCGGAGGAAAAGAAACCAACAGGGAUUGCCUUAGUAACUGCGAGUGAAGCGGCAAAAGCUCAAAUUUGUAAUCUGGCGUUUCAUUCAGACGUCCGAGUUGUAAUUUGGAGGAGCAUCUUCGGGGAUAGGGCAUUGUUACAAGUUCUUUUGGAACUGGACAUCACAGAGGGUGAGAAUCCCGUGUUCAGCAAUUACCUGUCCCACCACAGAAGUGUUUCCGACGAGUCGAGUUGUUUGGGAAUGCAGCUCAAAGUGGGUGGUAAAUUUCAUCUAAAGCUAAAUACAGGCGAGAGACCGAUAGCGCACAAGUAGAGUGAUCGAAAGAUGAAAAGCACUUUGAAAAGAGAGUUAAACAGUACGUGAAAUUGUUGAAAGGGAAGCGCUUGAGAUCAAACACUGGCAACGGCGGGGACGGCCUGAAUGUUUACGCAUGAGGGAUCACCAUCCUCGCUGGCCAGGCCAGCAUUGGUUUUGACGGUGGGAAAACCGGCCGGGGAAUGUGGCUCUCUGUUUACGGAGAGUGUUAUAGCCCCGGAUUCCGUGAUACCACCAGCCGAGACCAAGGACUGCGCUCAGCAAUGAGCAAGGAUGCUGGCCCAAAUGGUCUUAAGCGACC